rnacentral:ncRNA from 1 species
UGAAGCCCACACGGGAGUCCGGUAGGCCGGGCUGAGAGGAAAGUCCACAGCUUUCGACCGUCAUACCUGAUCUGGAUCAUGCCAGCGCAGGGAGACACUCUACGAACCCG